rnacentral:rRNA from 1 species
UGCNNUCGAACGGCAGCACGGGGGCAACCCUGGUGGCGAGUGGCGAACGGGUGAGUAACAUAUCGGAACGUGCCCUGGAGUGGGGGAUAACUAGUCGAAAGAUUAGCUAAUACCGCAUACGAUCUACGGAUGAAAGUGGGGGAUCGCAAGACCUCAUGCUCGUGGAGCGGCCGAUAUCUGAUUAGCUAGUUGGUGGGGUAAAGGCCUACCAAGGCAUCGAUCAGUAGCUGGUCUGAGAGGACGACCAGCCACACUGGGACUGAGACACGACCCAGACUCCUACGGGAGGCAGCAGUGGGGAAUUUUGGACAAUGGGCGCAAGCCUGAUCCAGCAAUGCCGCGUGAGUGAAGAAGGCCUUCGGGUUGUAAAGCUCUUUUGUCAGGGAAGAAACGGUUCGGGUUAAUACCUUGGGCUAAUGACGGUACCUGAAGAAUAAGCACCGGCUAACUACGUGCCAGCAGCCGCGGUAAUACGUAGGGUGCAAGCGUUAAUCGGAAUUACUGGGCGUAAAGCGUGCGCAGGCGGUUGCGCAAGACAGAUGUGAAAUCCCCGGGCUCAACCUGGGAAUUGCAUUUGUGACUGUACGGCUAGAGUGUGUCAGAGGGGGGUAGAAUUCCACGUGUAGCAGUGAAAUGCGUAGAGAUGUGGAGGAAUACCGAUGGCGAAGGCAGCCCCCUGGGAUAACACUGACGCUCAUGCACGAAAGCGUGGGGAGCAAACAGGAUUAGAUACCCUGGUAGUCCACGCCCUAAACGAUGUCUACUAGUUGUCGGGUCUUUAUUGACUUGGUAACGCAGCUAACGCGUGAAGUAGACCGCCUGGGGAGUACGGUCGCAAGAUUAAAACUCAAAGGAAUUGACGGGGACCCGCACAAGCGGNGGAUGAUGUGGAUUAAUUCGAUGCAACGCGAAAAACCUUACCUACCCUUGACA